rnacentral:sRNA from 1 species
GCUGGGUGCAGUGGCACAUGCCUGUAACCCCAGCAACUCAGGAGGCUGAAGCAGGAGGAUCACAAGUCUGAGGCCAGCCUUGGGAACUUAGUGAGACCCUGUCUCAA